AAGCAAAUUACACUGGUAAAAGUACAGAGAUUGUGCUUGAAGACUGGGGUUAUGAGUAUAUCAACUCCUGGAACUGCUCGGAAUAAACUGUAGAUAGUUGGUAUCGUCGGGGACUACAGUUGGACUUGCACCAUCCAAAAACUAUGGAGUUGGGAGAGCACAAAAACCUUGAUGCUUCGCUUAUUGUGCUGAGGGACAAGUGGACCUUCAGCAUUGCCAUUAACGCCCAUUAUAAGUGGUCGCAACUGCAAUACAUAAACAAGACGCUCUUAGAGUAAAGGGAAUACGAUGCAGUGAAGUGUAUGUACUUCAAGAUGUUGCUGAGCAUCCAUCCACAAGGUUUUUUUUGCACUUAUCUCUUGCAAAAUAUCAUGGUUUGUAGAACCACUGAACUUGAGUUAAUGGAGCAUGAGUUAUAGUUUGCUGCUAACAAGACCAAAGUGCGCUUUUCGAAGUGAGAGUUUUACCUUGUUAUAAGAUUGAAGUUUGGCCCCAUGUUGAACAUAUUCACACAACUGUCUAAGGCCAUCUUUGC